GUACACAAAAAUGCACAUAUUGUGAGCUCGAUGAGUAGGGCGGGACACGUGGUAUCCUGUCUGAAUAUGGGGGGACCAUCCUCCAAGGCUAAAUACUCCUGACUGACCGAUAGUGAACCAGUACCGUGAGGGAAAGGCGAAAAGAACCCCGGCGAGGGGAGUGAAAAAGAACCUGAAACCGUGUACGUACAAGCAGUGGGAGCCUCUUAAUGGGGUGACUGCGUACCUUUUGUAUAAUGGGUCAGCGACUUAUAUUCUGUAGCAAGGUUAACCGAAUAGGGGAGCCGAAGGGAAACCGAGUCUUAACUGGGCGUUAAGUUGCAGGGUAUAGACCCGAAACCCGGUGAUCUAGCCAUGGGCAGGUUGAAGGUUGGGUAACACUAACUGGAGGACCGAACCGACUAAUGUUGAAAAAUUAGCGGAUGACUUGUGGCUGGGGGUGAAAGGCCAAUCAAACCGGGAGAUAGCUGGUUCUCCCCGAAAGCUAUUUAGGUAGCGCCUCGUGAAUUCAUCUCCGGGGGUAGAGCACUGUUUCGGCAAGGGGGUCAUCCCGACUUACCAACCCGAUGCAAACUGCGAAUACCGGAGAAUGUUAUCACGGGAGACACACGGCGGGUGCUAACGUCCGUCGUGAAGAGGGAAACAACCCAGACCGCCAGCUAAGGUCCCAAAGUCAUGGUUAAGUGGGAAACGAUGUGGGAAGGCCCAGACAGCCAGGAUGUUGGCUUAGAAGCAGCCAUCAUUUAAAGAAAGCGUAAUAGCUCACUGGUCGAGUCGGCCUGCGCGGAAGAUGUAACGGGGCUAAACCAUGCACCGAAGCUGCGGCAGCGACACUAUGUGUUGUUGGGUAGGGGAGCGUUCUGUAAGCCUGUGAAGGUGGCCUGUGAGGGUUGCUGGAGGUAUCAGAAGUGCGAAUGCUGACAUAAGUAACGAUAAAGCGGGUGAAAAGCCCGCUCGCCGGAAGACCAAGGGUUCCUGUCCAACGUUAAUCGGGGCAGGGUGAGUCGACCCCUAAGGCGAGGCCGAAAGGCGUAGUCGAUGGGAAACAGGUUAAUAUUCCUGUACUUGGUGUUACUGCGAAGGGGGGACGGAGAAGGCUAUGUUGGCCGGGCGACGGUUGUCCCGGUUUAAGCGUGUAGGCUGGUUUUCCAGGCAAAUCCGGAAAACCAAGGCUGAGGCGUGAUGACGAGGCACUACGGUGCUGAAGCGACAAAUGCCCUGCUUCCAGGAAAAGCCUCUAAGCAUCAGGUAACAUCAAAUCGUACCCCAAACCGACACAGGUGGUCAGGUAGAGAAUACCAAGGCGCUUGAGAGAACUCGGGUGAAGGAACUAGGCAAAAUGGUGCCGUAACUUCGGGAGAAGGCACGCUGAUAUGUAGGUGAAGCGACUUGCUCGUGGAGCUGAAAUCAGUCGAAGAUACCAGCUGGCUGCAACUGUUUAUUAAAAACACAGCACUGUGCAAACACGAAAGUGGACGUAUACGGUGUGACGCCUGCCCGGUGCCGGAAGGUUAAUUGAUGGGGUUAGCGGUAACGCGAAGCUCUUGAUCGAAGCCCCGGUAAACGGCGGCCGUAACUAUAACGGUCCUAAGGUAGCGAAAUUCCUUGUCGGGUAAGUUCCGACCUGCACGAAUGGCGUAAUGAUGGCCAGGCUGUCUCCACCCGAGACUCAGUGAAAUUGAACUCGCUGUGAAGAUGCAGUGUACCCGCGGCAAGACGGAAAGACCCCGUGAACCUUUACUAUAGCUUGACACUGAACAUUGAGCCUUGAUGUGUAGGAUAGGUGGGAGGCUUUGAAGUGUGGACGCCAGUCUGCAUGGAGCCGACCUUGAAAUACCACCCUUUAAUGUUUGAUGUUCUAACGUUGGCCCGUAAUCCGGGUUGCGGACAGUGUCUGGUGGGUAGUUUGACUGGGGCGGUCUCCUCCUAAAGAGUAACGGAGGAGCACGAAGGUUGGCUAAUCCUGGUCGGACAUCAGGAGGUUAGUGCAAUGGCAUAAGCCAGCUUGACUGCGAGCGUGACGGCGCGAGCAGGUGCGAAAGCAGGUCAUAGUGAUCCGGUGGUUCUGAAUGGAAGGGCCAUCGCUCAACGGAUAAAAGGUACUCCGGGGAUAACAGGCUGAUACCGCCCAAGAGUUCAUAUCGACGGCGGUGUUUGGCACCUCGAUGUCGGCUCAUCACAUCCUGGGGCUGAAGUAGGUCCCAAGGGUAUGGCUGUUCGCCAUUUAAAGUGGUACGCGAGCUGGGUUUAGAACGUCGUGAGACAGUUCGGUCCCUAUCUGCCGUGGGCGCUGGAGAACUGAGGGGGGCUGCUCCUAGUACGAGAGGACCGGAGUGGACGCAUCACUGGUGUUCGGGUUGUCAUGCCAAUGGCACUGCCCGGUAGCUAAAUGCGGAAGAGAUAAGUGCUGAAAGCAUCUAAGCACGAAACUUGCCCCGAGAUGAGUUCUCCCUGAGACUUAGAGUCUCCUGAAGGAACGUUGA
rnacentral:rRNA from 1 species